GACGAACGCUGGCGGCGUGCUUAACACAUGCAAGUCGAACGGAAAGGCCCUGCUUUUGUGGGGUGCUCGAGUGGCGAACGGGUGAGUAACACGUGAGUAACCUGCCCUUGACUUUGGGAUAACUUCAGGAAACUGGGGCUAAUACCGGAUAGGAGCUCCUGCUGCAUGGUGGGGGUUGGAAAGUUUCGGCGGUUGGGGAUGGACUCGCGGCUUAUCAGCUUGUUGGUGGGGUAGUGGCUUACCAAGGCUUUGACGGGUAGCCGGCCUGAGAGGGUGACCGGCAAAAUUGGGACUGAGAUACGGCCCAGAGUACUACGGGAGGCAGCAGUGGGGAAUAUUGCACAAUGGGCGGAAGCCUGAUGCAGCAACGCCGCGUGAGGGAUGACGGACUUCGGGUUGUAAACCGCUUUCGCCUGUGACGAAGCGUGAGUGACGGUAAUGGGUAAAGAAGCACCGGCUAACUACGUG
rnacentral:rRNA from 1 species